rnacentral:rRNA from 1 species
UCUACAGGCUUAACACAUGCAAGUCGAGGGGCAGCAUGGUCUUAGCUUGCUAAGGCCGAUGGCGACCGGCGCACGGGUGAGUAACACGUAUCCAACCUGCCGUCUACUCUUGGACAGCCUUCUGAAAGGAAGAUUAAUACAAGAUGGCAUCAUGAGUCCGCAUGUUCACAUGAUUAAAGGUAUUCCGGUAGACGAUGGGGAUGCGUUCCAUUAGAUAGUAGGCGGGGUAACGGCCCACCUAGUCUUCGAUGGAUAGGGGUUCUGAGAGGAAGGUCCCCCACAUUGGAACUGAGACACGGUCCAAACUCCUACGGGAGGCAGCAGUGAGGAAUAUUGGUCAAUGGGCGAGAGCCUGAACCAGCCAAGUAGCGUGAAGGAUGACUGCCCUAUGGGUUGUAAACUUCUUUUAUAAAGGAAUAAAGUCGGGUAUGGAUACCCGUUUGCAUGUACUUUAUGAAUAAGGAUCGGCUAACUCCGUGCCAGCAGCUGCGGUAAUACGGAGGAUCCGAGCGUUAUCCGGAUUUAUUGGGUUUAAAGGGAGCGUAGAUGGAUGUUUAAGUCAGUUGUGAAAGUUUGCGGCUCAACCGUAAAAUUGCAGUUGAUACUGGAUAUCUUGAGUGCAGUUGAGGCAGGCGGAAUUCGUGGUGUAGCGGUGAAAUGCUUAGAUAUCACGAAGAACUCCGAUUGCGAAGGCAGCCUGCUAAGCUGCAACUGACAUUGAGGCUCGAAAGUGUGGGUAUCAAACAGGAUUAGAUACCCUGGUAGUCCACACGGUAAACGAUGAAUACUCGCUGUUUGCGAUAUACUGCAAGCGGCCAAGCGAAAGCGUUAAGUAUUCCACCUGGGGAGUACGCCGGCAACGGUGAAACUCAAAGGAAUUGACGGGGGCCCGCACAAGCGGAGGAACAUGUGGUUUAAUUCGAUGAUACGCGAGGAACCUUACCCGGGCUUAAAUUGCAGAUGAAUUACGGUGAAAGCCGUAAGCCGCAAGGCAUCUGUGAAGGUGCUGCAUGGUUGUCGUCAGCUCGUGCCGUGAGGUGUCGGCUUAAGUGCCAUAACGAGCGCAACCCUUGUUGUCAGUUACUAACAGGUUCCGCUGAGGACUCUGACAAGACUGCCAUCGUAAGAUGUGAGGAAGGUGGGGAUGACGUCAAAUCAGCACGGCCCUUACGUCCGGGGCUACACACGUGUUACAAUGGGGGGUACAGAGGGCCGCUACCACGCGAGUGGAUGCCAAUCCCCAAAACCUCUCUCAGUUCGGACUGGAGUCUGCAACCCGACUCCACGAAGCUGGAUUCGCUAGUAAUCGCGCAUCAGCCACGGCGCGGUGAAUACGUUCCCGGGCCUUGUACACACCGCCCGUCAAGCCAUGGGAGCCGGGGGUACCUGAAGUGCGUAACCGCGAGGAGCGCCCUAGGGUAAAACUGGUGACUGGG